rnacentral:rRNA from 1 species
UACGGGGGGAGCAAGCGUUGUUCGGAUUUAUUGGGCGUAAAGAGCGUGUAGGCGGCCAGACAAGUCUGCUGUGAAAACUCGAGGCUCAACCUCGAGCUGUCGGUGGAAACUGUCUGGCUAGAGUCCGGAAGAGGAGAGUGGAAUUCCUGGUGUAGCGGUGAAAUGCGCAGAUAUCAGGAAGAACACCUAUGGCGAAGGCAGCUCUCUGGGACGGUACUGACGCUGAGACGCGAAAGCGUGGGGAGCGAACAGG